rnacentral:rRNA from 1 species
GCACGUAGUUAGCCGAUGCUUCCUUUGCUGGUACCGUCAUUUUUUUCGUUCCAGCCGACAGAGCUUUACACCCCAAAGGGCUUCGUCGCUCACGCGGUGUCGCUACGUCAGGCUUUCGCCCAUUGCGUAAAAUUCCCCA